AAUGUUUUAAGUUAAGAUAAACCUUAGACCUUCAAAGUCUAUAAUGAAUUAAUAAAAUUCAAACAUUA
rnacentral:tRNA from 1 species